GGAGACGUGGCCGAGUGGUCGAAGGCGCUCCCCUGCUAAGGGAGUAUACCGCAAGGUAUCGAGGGUUCGAAUCCCUUCGUCUCCG
rnacentral:tRNA from 1 species